UUUUUUUUUUGCUUUUUAGGGCCACACCUGCAGUAUAUGGAAGUUCCCAGGCCAGAGGUCCAAUGAGAGCUGUAGCUGCCGGCUUACACCACAGCCACAGCAACGCCAAGAUCCGAGGCACAUCUGUGAGCAACACCACAGCUCAUGGCAACACCAGAUCCUUGACCCACUGAGCAAAGGCAGGGAUCGAACCCCAACCUCAUGGUUCCUAGUCGGACUCAUUUCCGCUGAGCUACCACAGGAACUCUACAAGUCUCUCUCUUGAUCUUUUUUUUUUUUUUGGCCAAAGAAGCAUCCCAAGUUCCUGUCAUUCCCCUCACGGAAACAUCUCGAGUCCCAAAUUCAAAGCCCCCCAGGACAACCAGCAGCCACACCACAAAUGCCCUGCCCUGGGCUCAGUCACAGGAUGCAUCAGCCCUCAUGGCCAGGACAAGGUUCUGAGCUCCCAUUAAAGAUAAGGGGCUUAGAGUUCCCGUCAUGGCUCAGUGGUUAAAGAACCUGACUCAUAUCCAAGAGGAUGAGGGUUCGAUCCCUAGCCUUGGUCAGUGGGUUAAGGAUCUGGCAUUGCUGUGAGCUGUGGUAUAGGCCGGCAGCUGUAGCUCCGAUUCAACCCCUGGCCUGGGAACCUCCAUAUGCUGUGGGUGCGGCCCAAAAAAGACAUUAAUUAAUUAAUUAAUUAAGAUAAGGGGCUGCAUACAAGGGUCCGCUGGAAGGAUCAGAGCCACAGCCAUGCCACCUCACCCACUGGAGCUGACCCUCCAGUGACAUCCUGGAAUGAGCGGCAGGCAGCGCUACAGGCCAGGCUGGCUCACUCACCCCUUACGUGGCCCUAACUGGUUUAUGCUGGGUCUGUCUUGUCUCCCCAGCUAGAGGCUAACAGAUCCAGAAAUUCUGAUGGGCUGGGCAGACAGGUAGGAAUGGGAGUGGGGGGGCAGCCUCCACCGAGCACCAGUCACCCCCAUGUAUAGCAUCCCCGACCCUAUCACAGCCCUUGGCUCACCCAGGGCCAGCGCUAUAGGUGUGAAAUGAACACAGGAUGUAGAAGACACACCGCAAAAAGGAGUGGAAAACAUCUCAUUAACAACUUUUAUAACCAUUACACGUUAAAAUGACAACAUUCGGGGUAUAUUGGGGUAUAAUGUCAAUAAAAGACAUGAUUCAAAUUAAUUUCACCUGCUUCUUUUUUAGCUUCUGGAAAACUUUAAAGGACACACAGGGCUUGCUCUGCAUCUUUAUUGGGUGGUGCUGCCUUAGAAAAACUGCCAGUUUACACUUUCGCCUGUUUUCUUCUGAGGGUUUGGUUGUUUCGGUUCUCACAUUCAGGUCUUGGAUCUGCUAGUGUCUGUUUUGGUGCCCAGCAUGGGGCACCAUACAGAAGCUGAUGUUUCACCAGGUGACAUUUCAUGAGUGUUCUUGCCUGUCUCCCAUGGGGUCCUCCCAGGGCCACAGCUCCCUGGCACUCAAGAUCCUCCAGGUGUCUGCCAAGGGGACUGCCAAGUCUAUCACACACAUGUCACUGUCCCCACAGGGAAGACACCGGCAAUGCCAGUGGGAGGAUCAGAGCUGGCUGGGCUGGGCUUGGCGGUUGGAGGGUCUCAGGGGAGACUACAAGGAUGCUUAGAACCCAGUGGCUGCUUUCAAAGACACAAGCCACAACCCUGUCAGGGCUAAGGCCAGGCAGGCCAGGAAAGGGAAGCAGUCCAGGAGGCAGCUUGUGUGCAAACCUGCUGGCCAGACAUAUGGGGGCUGGGGGAGGGGGCAGCUCAGAAAGGAGGGCGCAUGUGGUCUAAUCCGGAGCCACGUGAAGCUCUCAGGGAGCCGGCUCCACUCGACGCAAGGACCAAGCACAGCCAACCAGGCCAGUCGGGGGCGGGGAUCACACCAGGCAGGCAGGAAACAGGACACCCCUUCUGGCCUUGGCCCUGGUGGACUUCAAGGCAGGGAGGGCCCGGCCCCGCCCAUCAGGGAACAUACAGGAAACAGACAAGCCGGAGGAGCGGGUUGUCAGGGCCACCCUGCUCCUGGGGUGGACACAGGAGAGGUCCUGCUGGGGACCCACCAGGCAAGGCUGGGCCAGCACAGCCCACCCCAUGUGGACCCUGCCCGGCUCCAGAUGGAGGAAGAGGAGGGUGCGGAGAGGCAGGCAUAAGCACUGAACUAUGGAGCCCAGAACCUGUGCGACCAAAAAGGGUGGCCUGAGCACCUCCUAUAGGCAAGCGGGGCAGCACAUGUGACAGCAGCUCCUCACUGACCCUGGCCUCCUCUCUGAUGCCUCCUACCCCAGCCCCCAAGAUCUAACCCCACAAAGGGUUUUUGGGUGGCUUCUGCCCUGGGGCCCGGCUGGCUGAGCAUUCUGCACCGCAGCCCUGGAAUCCUGGAACUCUGUGACUGGGCAAAGAAGAGGCAGGGAGAAAUAGAAAUUACUAGAUCCACAGCAGCCAGUGGAUACACAUGUCCACCCACACACUGGAAUAUCACUUGGCCAUGAAGAGGAGCCAGGCAUCAACACUCACUACCACAGGGGUGAACCCUGAAAAACAUGAUGCUCAGUGAGAGAAGCUAGACGCAGUAGGCUGCAGAGGACGCGAGUCCCUGGAUGAGAAACAUCCAGAACAGGCAGAGUCACAGAGCUAGAGAGUAGAUUCAUGGUUGCCAAGGAGGAGGGGGGAAUGGGGAGUGGCUCUCUAACAGGUAUGGGCUUCCCUUUUGGGGUGACAAAAAAGGUCUGGAAUUUACUAGAGGUGAGAUUGCAAAACUCUGUAAAUGUUCUAAAAACCACUGAACUGUCCCCUUUGAAAGGAUGAAUGUUAUGGUUUAUGAAUACGGCAACUUAAUAUAUUUUUUAAAAAGCAGAGCAGGAUGGAAGUUCCCUGGUGGUCUAGGGAUUAGGAUUCAGCGCUUUCACCUUGGCAGCCCAGGUUCGAUCCCUGGUCUGGGAACUGAAAUUCCACAUCAAGCUGCUGCACGCCAUGGCCAAAAAUAAAAUAAAAAAUGUAGAGCAGGACAUUUUAAGAGGGGCUGUCCUAGAAAACUCAAGGGUCUGGUCAGUCAGCACACUGGAGCCAACUGCUGAGCAGCUAUGGCUCCUCCAUGGCUCCCCUGUGACUGGAACAACUCUGGACCGGCCUCACUGACUAGACUCUAUGCCCCCGAGGGCAGAGCUGCGGCCCCCUCCCCUCACCCCUGAAGCCUGGCGCAGGGGGUUCCAAAGGUGUCCAAGGCACGGGAGCUUCCCUUGGCUUCCCCUGCCUCCCCCAGGUGGGUCUCCUGGACCACGGCCCUGAGGGCCACUUCCUGCUCCACCUGCUGCUCACCUCGCCCAGGACCACGAGGCUCGGCCCACAUGGCCACGCUUGUGCCACCCCCUAGCCACCACUAGAGCCAGCAAGUGCUGCCCCAGGGCCUGUGCAUCCAUGGACUUGGUUUGCAUCUGUCUCAGCAAUUCUGUCCCCGGCCCCUGCCAUCUGGUUACUCUCGGGAGGCCUGCUCCACGCUUCCACCAUGCUACAGGCUGUGACCCUCACAGGCAGGCUCACCUGGCCAUGCACAUGCAGACUAGACAACUACUGUCACCCUCAGCUGGGUGACAGCAGACGCGCACCGCCGGGACGAGGCAUGGCGCAUGUCCGACGGCCAUGUGUCUGCUGUAAAGCUAGACCCGGUGGCUGGUGAAACCAAGCUGCUGACCACCAGGCCAAGAGACACAUGAGGGGCCUUUAAGGGUUCCUGAUUCCGCAUCUUUGCCUUGACACUGGCAGAGAGGACAGCUGGACAUUUGCAGAGGCCACUCUGCCCUCACUCCCCCCCCCGGGAAGCCUGGCCCUGCGGCUGGCUCAUCCACCAGUCAUGCAACCACUUUUCUGACCACUUUUCUUUCUGAAGGGUCCGGCAAUGAGAGCUGGACGUGCAGGGGGGCCAGUUUCUCCAUGAGGACACUACCCCUUGGGCUCCAGCUCAGAAGAGGCUCAGGCUGCCCAUAGAGCAGCCAGGCGGCCCCGAAAGCCUGUGGCUCCACACGCCGCCCACCUCAGCAGCGAAACCAGACGCCUUCCUUCCCAAGGGGGUGUCAGAGGACUCGGUUCCUCCAAUGAGUCCUCCACCGGCUCCCUCCUCUUCCUUGGGGGAGAAAGCUGGAAUGAAGCAGUGAAUCAGGAGUUUAAACUCCAGGGCCUUUGCUCACACGCAAGCUGGAGACGGCAAGCCUCUCUCAACUCGUGACCGAAAUAAUCAGAUCCAUGCAGCUCCAGGCCCGAGGGAGGCGGCCUGCCCACGGGGGCUGGCCUUGCUGAUGGAGGGGGCCUGAAAGGACGGAACAAGGAUCUGAAGGGGGCAGGGGCAGCUCCCGGUCCAGCCACCCAGCCAGGGCCCCGCACACAUCCUGGGGCAGCUCCUGGGCUGCCCCUUUCCAAAUGGGCUGCCCAGACUGGCCAGGGCCCCGAGCUCUAGUCACACACAUAGCCUGUCUCCACCCCACUCAUGGUCUGGGGAGCUCCUGUCGUCACUGCGCCUGCUGGCUCUCGCUUAAAGGAGGCCUCCAGGAUCCAUCCUCUCCUUCUUCUGCACAAAGCAAAAUUCCGGAUCCCCUGCCAGCUCAUCUUCCAUGCAUCCUCUCCCCUGAGACCCAAGCAAGCAGCCAUGAUACCACCAAAGGGGGCCUACCUCUGCCCCUACCUGUCCCAAAGGUGCCCUCUCUUGGGGGCAACUGCAAACAUGGAAAGGAAAUGGGUCCUGGAACAAGGCCUGCCUACCCUACCCCCAGAUCACCUCUUCACACAUCACCUUUCCUCCCCGUACGGGUUGUCUGAGAAAAGGAACUGUGAUCACUAGUCCCGGCAACUGGGGCCAAACCUACGUCAGCUACAAUUCUGCUCUGCACCCAGAGACCCAUGCAGGACGCAGCAGCUCUUGGUGCUUUGCUUUCCGAUAUAUAUAUAUACAUGUGUGUGUAUAUAUGUGUAUAUAUAUAUACAUGUGUGUGUAUGUUGUAUAUAUAUAUACGUGUGUGUGUAUGUGUGUAUAUAUAUACAUGUGUGUGUAUACAUGUGUAUAUAUUGUGUGUGUAUACAUGUGUAUAUAUAUAUACAUGUGUGUGUAUAUAUGUGUGUAUAUACACACACACACACACACACACAACACAUAUUCCAUUAUAGGUUACCACAAGGGUCAAACCCACACCAUACCAGUAACCAGAGUCAGCAGUAACGACACGGAGUCCUUAACCCACUGAGCCUCCAGGGAACUCCUGCUUUCUGAUUCUUAUUCUUUGUCCACUGAACAAACAUACCCAAGGCCAAGGGCUCAGAGAGAUUCCAAGUGACCACUGCCAGAGCCACAGAUCAGCCAUGGGGCAAAGACAGCAAUGCAAACUCUUCAUCAGUAUCCU
rnacentral:lncRNA from 1 species